rnacentral:lncRNA from 1 species
CAGUGAGCGUGUUUUCAAAAUAAUAAUCCAAUUAAUAUGCAUUAAGUAGAAAUUUCAGGGUUUUGCCUGGCAGUUGUGGCUGCUGCUGUCAUUUGGAAAUAAUAUUUCAUUGCUUCAGGUGGCAGAUACCUAGCAGCUACUGCCUAGUCAGCCUGGGCUCCGUCAGGAUUACCUGUGAGGUUGUCAGUGUAAUUUGAGGCUGGGUGUGCGUUCUGUGGAGAUGCUGCUCUUUCUAACCCUGUGAUUCAGCAUAAACAAGUGCUUUGCAAGCUUACCUUGGUUUACUAAGGCAAAAAAAUUGAUGGAUCUCUGUAACCUGUUCCUGUUUUUAGGGAAAUCUCUUCUUCUAUUGAAAAGAGAAAUUAAAUAAAUGUUUUUUUCUAAAAUUGUCUUGUGAACAAUUUAUAGCUGCAAGAGCUGCUGCAGUGGCACCUAAGCUGUUUUAUGUUUAGUUGCUGAUGUUUUCAUCUCAAGGGGGGGGUAUAUGUUGUGUUUUAUAAUAGGUAACCGACUGUGGAGUUCUCAUGUAGCCCAUACCUUAAUAGGAAAUGAUCUUUUUUUCAGAUCUGGGCGUAUCUUAGAAGAUAGCUGUUUGCAGCAGUCACUCCACUGUGACCAGGAGGUCAGCUGGGUGCCAGUCUUGAAGGUCUUCUGGAGUCUCAGACAAGUGUCCCAUCUGGCCAGUGUCACAAAGAUGAAAGGAAAUUGUUAUUUCAGACAAAGGCCUUUACUUGAUAGGUGUGCUCCAUGGUUAAAGAUUUCUUGGCAGCUAACUCUGAAAACUGCUAACCAUGUACAAGAAAAAAUGUUCUGA